CAAUUUAAAUUGUUCAAAUAUAUUUUAAUACCGAUACAUAUUAUUAUAAAAUGAGCGAAGAAGUGAAUACUGAAGAUGUGCUGCGCAUAUUGGUGGCGACUGACAAUCACUUGGGCUAUGCGGAGAAAAAUGCUGUGCGCGGAGAUGAUAGCUUCAUUACUUUUGAAGAAAUACUACAAAUGGCUGUGCAGGAGGACGUUGACUUCAUAUUGCUCGGUGGCGAUUUAUUUCAUGAUGCAGUGCCCAGCCAGAAUACACUACACAACUGCAUGAAGUUGCUACGGCGUUACACUUUCGGUGAUAAACCAAUCAACAUUGAAAUGCUAAGUGAUCAGGCGGUAAAUUUUCAUAAUGCCGUCAGUGAUACUGUUAACUACGAGGACCCCAAUCUUAAUGUAUCCAUACCAGUAUUUUCCAUACACGGCAACCAUGACGAUCCCAGUGGUUUUGGACAACUCAGUUCGCUUGAUUUACUCUCCGUAAAUGGUUUAAUAAAUUAUUUUGGACGCUGGACCGAUCUCACCAAAGUAACUAUUAAUCCAAUACUUUUGCGCAAAGGUGAAACGCAAUUAGCGCUAUAUGGAUUGAGUCAUAUACACGAUGCACGUUUGGUGCGUCUAUUUGAGGACUUUAAAGUGAAUUUUGUUUGUCCAGCCUCUGAAGAGGGUGAAUGGUUUCAUUUGAUGGUUUUGCAUCAGAAUCACGCAGAUCGCGGUCCAAAAACUAAUAUACCAGAACACGCGCUACCCGAGUUCUUGAAUUUGGUUAUUUGGGGUCAUGAGCACGAUUGUCAUAUAAUACCCAAUUUGAAUGGCAUACGUGACUUCUACGUUAGUCAACCUGGUUCAUCUGUUGCUACUUCGCUGGCUGAGGGUGAAGCACUGAAGAAAUAUGUUGGUUUGUUGGAAAUAUAUAAAACGCGUUUCCAAAUGAAACCGUUGCCAUUGCAAACCGUACGUCCAUUUGUCUUCGAUUCGGUCGAUUUGGCAACAAUGACAGAAGAACUAAAACUGGACGAAGGAGAUGUACAAAAUAAGGUUAUAGCCAUGGCCAAGGAGCGUGUUGAAAGUAUGAUAAUUAAAGCGAAGGCACAAAUUACUGGGCAUCCAAACCAACCGCAAUUGCCGCUUAUAAGACUACGCAUUAUCUUCUCAAAUGAGGAGCAAAUGUUUAAUGCAAUACGUUUUGGGCAGUCCUACAAUGAGCAGGUAGCCAAUCCAGCAGAUAUGAUACAUUUUAAAAAAGUUAUAAAGCGCGCUAAGGGCGAGCAUUCCGAUUUUGACAAUGAAGCUUUACGUGGUGCCUUAGACAAUAUACAAGUGGAUAUGGGCAGUGAAAUGAAAAUCGAGAAUUUCAUUGAACGUUAUUUCCAAGAGAUACCAGCCAAACGCCAGCUAAAAGUGCUAACGCCAAAAAUAUUGUCGGAAAUGUGCAAUCGUAUUGUGGAAAAAGGUGACAUAACCGCAGCUGAGGGUAUUAUAAAACACUGCAAAGACAGCGCUCUAGAGCACUUGCUGGAGACUCUACCAGCUGACGAUGAAGUCGAAGCAUCCUUAGUGGACUUCAAUAGUAAACUAACACUCGAUGAUGUGUUGAAAAGUUUAGAAAAUGUUGGCUCAAAAGUGAAAGCUAAUACAAGUAGCUUUUCGCUUACCUCGACACUUAGCCGGAGCAAGCAAUCAACGAGAGUGAGUGAACUGAAUACAGCAUUAGAUAACCAGCACGACAGUGAAGAGGAACCACGGCCAAAGAAAGCGUCGAAAACGCAGGCAAAAGCAGCUGCAAAUUUUUUCCUGGACGACAGCGACGAGAGUGAUGCAGAACCAGCGCCACAGCCUGCUAAAGGCACAAAAGCCACACGUGGACGGAAAACCACAAAAACCGAAACGAACACCAAGCCAAUUGCUGGCAGGGGGCGUGGUAGAGGACGUGGACGUGGUGCUGCUGCAGCGGCGCCAACGCGCUCCACACGCCAAGCUUUGGACGUAUCGGUAAAUACAACGUAAGCCUUGUAUUGUUUGAUCAUCUUCUAAGUUAUAUGAAAUAAUGGAUUUUAGGCUACGGACUGAACUUAAACAAAUACUCUACAUGGUAUAUACGUAUUAAAGUGUGAAUAAGCGGGGUGUCCGAAGUUUGCUAUAACAAGAACUACUUUAUGCAUUGGUGCGAUGGUGUUUAUAUAGAGACUGAUGUUGAAUAUGUUUGUCAGAAUGAUUCUCUUUCAUUUGUCGACUUCCCUUUCGAUUGCGCCGCUCACAGGAUGCAACCGAAAAAUAAAGAAUGUUGAACUCAGUGAAGUGGACUUCGGAUAAAGACAAGCAGAAUUUUUGAUGUGUUAAAAAAUUAGUGCGAUGUUUUGCUAUAAAGCUCUAAAGUGCUGUGUUUUUGUGAGCUUAAAGCUAUUUUUUAUUAAUUUUUUAAUUUAUGAAGUGUUUCUUUUUUUUAUGUGAAGUCAUAUAUUUUUUAAUCGUGCAAAGUGAUUUUUCGACUAGUGAAGUGUUAUUCAAUGAAAAAAAAUUUAAAAUUUGGCCACUUAUCACCAGC